rnacentral:miRNA from 1 species
UGCUGUCCCCUGAGAGGAUCA